rnacentral:rRNA from 1 species
GACGAACGCUGGCGGCGUGCUUAACACAUGCAAGUCGAACGGCAAGGCCCUGCGUUUGUGGGGUGCUCGAGUGGCGAACGGGUGAGUAACACGUGAGUAACCUGCCCUUGACUUUGGGAUAACUUCAGGAAACUGGGGCUAAUACCGGAUAGGAGCUCCUGCUGCAUGGUGGGGGUGGGAAAGUUUCGGCGGUUGGGGAUGGACUCGCGGCUGAUCAGCUUGUUGGUGGGGUAGUGGCUUACCAAGGCUUUGACGGGUAGCCGGCCUGAGAGGGUGACCGGCCACAUUGGGACUGAGAUACGGCCCAGACUCCUACGGGAGGCAGCAGUGGGGAAUCUUGCCCAAUGGGCGGGAGCCUGAUGCAGCAACGCCGCGUGCGGGAUGACGGCCUUCGGGUUGUGAACCGCUUUCGCCUGUGACGAAGCGUGAGUGACGGUAAUGAGUAAAGAAGCACCGGCUAACUACGUG